GAUGAACGCUGGCGGCGUGCCUAAUACAUGCAAGUCGAGCGGACAGACGAGGAGCUUGCUCCUCUGACGUUAGCGGCGGACGGGUGAGUAACACGUGGAUAACCUACCUAUAAGACUGGGAUAACUUCGGGAAACCGGAGCUAAUACCGGAUAAUAUAUUGAACCGCAUGGUUCAAUAGUGAAAGACGGUUUUGCUGUCACUUAUAGAUGGAUCCGCGCCGCAUUAGCUAGUUGGUAAGGUAACGGCUUACCAAGGCGACGAUGCGUAGCCGACCUGAGAGGGUGAUCGGCCACACUGGAACUGAGACACGGUCCAGACUCCUACGGGAGGCAGCAGUAGGGAAUCGGCCGCAAUGGGCGAAAGCCUGACGGAGCAACGCCGCGUGAGUGAUGAAGGUCUUCGGAUCGUAAAACUCUGUUAUUAGGGAAGAACAAAUGUGUAAGUAACUAUGCACGUCUUGACGGUACCUAAUCAGAAAGCCACGGCUAACUACGUG
rnacentral:rRNA from 1 species